rfam:Gossypium raimondii Chr07_contig_26, whole genome shotgun sequence.
CCUUAAAAAUUUCAUUAUUUCUACCAUUAAAUUGGUGUGAUUGAUGAAAUAACCAAACAGUUACAUAUAACGUGUCAUGUCAUGUGGACCUCAUGUUGAGGUAUAGAGACCAUUUUUUAACGGUAAAAAUGGAUAAAUUUUUUACCA